AGGAUCUAGCAGACAGAAGAAAGUGGGCCAAGCACAUGGCGUCUCAGUGGCAGGGCAUGAGGACCUCUGUGCGCAGACGAUCACUCCUUAAGGAGGAACAACUAGAGAAGGAGGUGACCCGGUCUGCUGGGGGUCAUCUGGAGACCUGUCCCUUGGGAUCCCUGUGCAGACAGUUCUAAAGGAGGCCGCCUCUGAGAGCGGUCAGCCUGAACCUUGGUAAUGGCCCCUCCUGGAAACGCCUGGAAAGUCCAAAGCCAGAACAGCAAGGUCUUCAGGCUGCAGCUCGUUCAGCCAAAAGUGCUUUGGGUGCCAUGUCCCAGAGGAUCCAAGAGUCCUGUCAAAGUGGCACCAAGUGGCUGAUGGAGACACAGGUGACAGUGAGGAGGAAGCGAGGAGCCCAGAAAGACAGAGGGUCGCCACCACCCAGUCUGAGCCAGAAGAAUACUCGGCUAUACAGAGCCAACCGGGAUGCUAGAGUCGGGGGACAUCCUCGCCUCUCUGGCCAGAUGGGUCCACAUGCCCAUCGCCGUCAGCAGCUAAGGAGGGAGGCUGCCCUCCGGAGCCCCUGUUCCUCGACAGAACCUCUCUGCUCUCCCAGUGAGUCUGACAGCGACCUAGAGGCUGUGGGAGCUGGAAUCCAGCACCUUCAGAAGCUGUCUCAAAAGCUGGACAAAGCCAUCAAGGCUGAAGAGAGUGGUGACAUGACCGUCUCCCAUAUCCGUGAAUGAGGACAGCAAGCAUCCUACAGGAAGCCAGCUCCGUCCAGCCACCAAGCCACCAGGAUGUCCAUGCCACCCAACCCAUGAGCUUCCUGGACACGGCAUUGGGUUUAUCAGCAUCC